rnacentral:rRNA from 1 species
GAAACUCGCCUACAUGAAGCUGGAGUUACUAGUAAUCGCAGAUCAGAAUGCUGCGGUGAAUGCGUUCCCGGGUCUUGUACACACCGCCCGUCACACCACGGAAGUUGGGGCGCCCGAAGCCACUUAGCUAACCCUUUGGGAAGCGAGUGUCGAAGGUGAAAUCAAUAACUGGGGUGAAGUCGUAACAAGGUAAC